GAGGGUAUAGCUCAGUGGGAGAGUGCGUGCUUAGCAUGCACGAGGUCCUGGGUUCAAUCCCCGGUACCUCCA
rnacentral:tRNA from 1 species